rnacentral:rRNA from 1 species
CCUACGGGGUGCAGCAGUGGGGGAUAUUGCACAAUGGGGGAAACUCUGAUGCAGCGACGCCACGUGUGGGAAGACGGUCCUCUGGAUUGUAAACCACUGUCCCCAGGGACGAAGAUGACGGUACCUGGGGAGGAAGCUCCGGCGAACUACGUGCCAGCAGCCGCGGUAAUACGUAGGGAGCGAGCGUUGUCCGGAAUUACUGGGUGUAAAGGGAGCGUAGGCGGGGAUGAAAGUUGGGGGUCAAAACUACCGGCUCAACUGGUAGUCGCACUCAAAACUGCAGCUCUUGAGUGAAGUAGAGGCAGGCGGAAUUCCUGGUGUAGCGGUGAAAUGCGUAGAUAUUAGGAGGAACGCCAGUGGCGAAGGCAGCCUGCUGGGCUUUUACUGACGCUGAGGCUCGAAAGUGUGGGGAGCAAACAGGAUUAGAUACCCUGGUAGUC